rnacentral:rRNA from 1 species
CCCUUAGAUGUUCUGGGCCGCACGCGUGCUACACUGAGUGGAUCAGCGGGUCAGGUUGCGCGAAAGUGUUUCCUAAUCUUUAAAUCCGCUCGUGAUGGGGAUUGACGGUUGCAAUUUUCUGUCAUGAACGAGGAAUACCUUGUAAGCGCGGGUCAUCAUCCCGCGCUGAAUACGUCCCUGCCCUUUGUACACACCGCCCGUCGCUCCUACCGAUUGAAUGACUCGGUGAAAAAUUGGGACCGUGAGUCUGUUUGCUUCAUUGCGAGUGGAUUGAUGGGAACUUUUUUAAACCUCGCCAUUUAGAGGAAGGUGAAGUCGUAACA